CACGUAGGGUGCGAGCGUUGUCCGGAAUUAUUGGACGUAAAGAGCUCGUAGGCGGUGUGUCGCGUCGGCCGUGAAAACCUGCAGCUUAACUGUGGGCUUGCGGUCGAUACGGGCAUCACUGGAGUUCGGGCAGGGAGACUGGAAUUCCUGGUGUAGCGGUGAAAUGCGCAGAUAGUCAGGAGGAACACCGGUGGCCGAAGGCGG
rnacentral:rRNA from 1 species